UACGUAGGCAGCAAGCGUUGUUCGGAAUUACUGGGCGUAAAGAGUACGUAGGUGGUUUGCCAAGUCCGAUGUGAAAUCUCCUGGCUUAACUGGGAGGGUGCGUUAGAUACUGGCAGGCUUGAGUGUGGGAGAGGAGAGCGGAAUUCCGCGUGUAGCAGUGAAAUGCGUAGAGAUGCGGAGGAACACCGAUGGCGAAGGCAGCCCCCUGGGCCAACACUGACGCUCAGGCACGAAAGCGUGGGGAGCAAACAGG
rnacentral:rRNA from 1 species